AAGAGAAUUUGAUGUAUAGAUUGCAACAGUAAAAAACUACUCUAAGAUUUUUCACCUGCUGCUUCAACUGUUGAAACUCAGCCGUAUGAGGCUGUUUUAAGAUGAUGAAGCACAAAUUUGCAUUGGCGUUUGCACUCUCCAGGGCCCUCUGCAACACACCCUUCCCUGUGCUGACAGUGCUUCGGGAAGGGACGGGCCACUGAAGCCAGCUGGACUACGUGCAUGACCCACGCAUCUGUUGUGGUACUGACCAUCUUACUGAAAAUGUCUGCCUGCCUGCCUGGGUGUAACUCACUCAUUGCAAGAUGAAUUCGCUGUUGUCUUAAAGGACAGGAGCAGUGGUGGCCCAUGAAAAGCCAAAAGCUCUGAACAUAGUGAUGAUGGUCC